ACUCGGGCACGAUCCGUGAUCUCACGGAACCGACCUGAUGUUUCUAUCCUGAGGGA
rnacentral:ncRNA from 1 species